GAUCAUGGCUCAGGAUGAACGCUAGCGGCAGGCCUAAUACAUGCAAGUCAAGGGGAUAGCAAUAUCACCGGCGGACGGGUGCGUAACGCGUACACAACGUGCCCAAGGGCGGAGGAAAGCGGCGGGAAACUGCCGGUAAUACUCCAUGGUGUUGUUGAGUGGCAUCACUUAACAACUAAAGUACAAGCGCCCUUGGAUCGGUGUGCGUUCGAUUAGCUAGUUGGCGGGGUAACGGCCCACCAAGGCUUCGAUCGAUAGGGGGUGUGAGAGCAUGACCCCCCACACGGGUACUGAGACACGGACCCGACUCCUACGGGAGGCAGCAGUAAGGAAUAUUGGACAAUGGGCGGAAGCCUGAUCCAGCCAUGCCGCGUGAAGGACGAAGGCGCUCAGCGUUGUAAACUUCUUUUGGAUGGGAACAAUAACUCCGACUUGUCGGAACUUGAGGGUACCAUCAGAAUAAGCACCGGCUAACUCCGUG
rnacentral:rRNA from 1 species